UUUAUUCAAUGUGCCUCUUGAAUUCUAUCAUAAAUCGAGCUUUGGUCGAUUUCGCAUAUUCUGGUUUCAUUCCUUUGGAAAUUGAUAUCCUUUAGCUUUCUUAUUCAAUUGAGCUUUAUAUUACUGCUUUGAAUUCUUGUAUGCUCUUGUCCUUAAAAUUAUUUGUAUUCUUGAAAACUAUUGUGUAACGUUUAUGCUAUAUCGUAUUGACUCAUAUAGGCACAUGUAUAUCCCAUUAUUCCGCAUUUGCUUUCGAUAUGUGCCUAUUCCAGUUUCAUUCCUUUGGACAUUGAAUUCAUCUAACCUUCUUAUUUGAAUUGAGUUAUAUAUGAUUGCUUGGAAUCCUUGAAUGCUCUUGCUU
rnacentral:lncRNA from 1 species